UACGGGGGGGGCAAGCGUUGUUCGGAAUUACUGGGCGUAAAGGGUUUGUAGGUGGCUUGUUAAGUCAGACGUGAAAGCCCUCGGCUCAACCAAGGAAGUGCAUCCGAAACUGCUGAGCUUGAGUACUUAAGAGGAUCGCGGAAUUCCCGGUGUAGAGGUGAAAUUCGUAGAUAUCGGGAGGAACACCAGUGGCGAAGGCGGCGAUCUGGGAAGAUACUGACGCUGAGGUGCGAAAGCGUGGGGAGCAAACAGG
rnacentral:rRNA from 1 species